GAUGAACGCUGGCGGCGUGCCUAUACAUGCCAGUCGAGCGAACAGACGAGGAGCUUGCUCCUCUGACGUUAGCGGCGGACGGGGGAGUAACACGGGGAUAACCUACCUAUAAGACUGGGAUAACUUCGGGAAACCGGAGCUAAUACCGGAUAAUAUAUUGAACCGCAUGGUUCAAUAGUGAAAGACGGUUUUGCUGUCACUUAUAGAUGGAACCGCGCCGCAUUAGCUAGUUGGUAAGGUAACGGCUUACCAAGGCAACGAUGCGUAGCCGACCUGAGAGGGUGAUCGGCCACACUGGAACUGAGACACGGUCCAGACUCCUACGGGAGGCAGCAGUAGGGAAUCUUCCGCAAUGGGCGAAAGCCUGACGGAGCAACGCCGCGUGAGUGAUGAAGGUCUUCGGAUCGUAAAACUCUGUUAUUAGGGAAGAACAAAUGUGUAAGUAACUAUGCACGUCUUGACGGUACCUAAUCAGAAAGCCACGGCUAACUACGUG
rnacentral:rRNA from 1 species